UACGGAGGGGGCAAGCGUUGUUCGGAAUUACUGGGCGUAAAGGGCGCGCAGGCGGCUGCUCGAAGUCAGGCGUGAAAGGCCUGGGCUCAACCCGGGAAUUGCGCUUGAGACUGGGCUGGCUUGAGUGCGGGAGAGGAUGGUGGAAUUCCCAGUGUAGAGGUGAAAUUCGUAGAUAGUUGGGAAGAACACCGGUGGCGAAGGCGGCCAAUCUGGACCGCAACUGACGCUGAGGCGGCGAAAGCGAUGGGGAGCAACAGGGAUUAAGAUGACCCGUGUA
rnacentral:rRNA from 1 species